rnacentral:misc_RNA from 1 species
UCUCCGUUGGUGAACCAGCGGAGGGAUCAUUACUGGAAUCGUAAGGUCCCACAACCCUGUGAACCUACCGACACUUUGCCUCGGCGGGUGCCCGGCCCCCACGCCGGGCGCUGCGCCCGCCUGCGGCCCCCUACGCCGUCUCUUCAGCGUGGCAUCUCAGAGUCCCAGAAAACAAGUCAAGACUUUCAACAACGGAUCUCUUGGCUCUA